rnacentral:rRNA from 1 species
CCUACGGGAGGCUGCAGUGGGGAAUAUUGGACAAUGGGGGCAACCCUGAUCCAGCCAUGCCGCGUGUGUGAAGAAGGCCCUCGGGUUGUAAAGCACUUUCAGUGAGGAAGAACGCCUGGUGGUUAAUACCCAUCAGGAAAGACAUCACUCACAGAAGAAGCACCGGCUAACUCCGUGCCAGCAGCCGCGGUAAUACGGAGGGUGCGAGCGUUAGUCGGAAUUACUGGGCGUAAAGCGCGCGUAGGUGGCUUGAUAAGCCGGUUGUGAAAGCCCCGGGCUCAACCUGGGAACGGCAUCCGGAACUGUCAAGCUAGAGUGCAGGAGAGGAAGGUAGAAUUCCCGGUGUAGCGGUGAAAUGCGUAGAGAUCGGGAGGAAUACCAGUGGCGAAGGCGGCCUUCUGGACUGACACUGACACUGAGGUGCGAAAGCGUGGGUAGCAAACAGGAUUAGAUACCCUAGUAGUC